rnacentral:rRNA from 1 species
GAGUUGUAGCCUAGAGAAGUGUUUUCCGCGCUGGACCGUGUACAAGUCCCUUGGAACAGGGCGUCAUAGAGGGUGAGAAUCCCGUCCUUGACACGGACUCCCAGGGCUUUGCGAUGCGCUCUCGAAGAGUCGAGUUGUUUGGGAAUGCAGCUCAAAACGGGUGGUAAAUUCCAUCUAAAGCUAAAUAUUGGCGAGAGACCGAUAGCGAACAAGUACCGUGAGGGAAAGAUGAAAAGCACUUUGGAAAGAGAGUUAAACAGUACGUGAAAUUGCUGAAAGGGAAGCGCUUGAAGUCAGUCGCGUCCGUCGGGAUUCAGCCUUGAACGGUGUAUUUCCUGACGGACGGGCCAACAUCGAUUUUGGCCGGCGAAAAAGGGUUUGGGGAAUGUGGCAUCUUCGGAUGUGUUAUAGCCCCUUGCCGCCGGCCGGGAUCGAGGACCGCAGCUUCGGCUUAGGAUGUUGGCGUAAUGGCUUUAAACGACCCG